rnacentral:rRNA from 1 species
AUGCAAGCCGAGCGGUAUUUGUUCUUCGGAACAGAGAGAGCGGCGUACGGGUGCGUAACACGUGUGCAACCUACCUUUAUCAGGGGAAUAGCCUUUCGAAAGGAAGAUUAAUACUCCAUAAUAUAUUGAAUGGCAUCAUUCGAUAUUGAAAACUCCGGUGGAUAAAGAUGGGCACGCGCAAGAUUAGAUAGUUGGUGAGGUAACGGCUCACCAAGUCAAUGAUCUUUAGGGGUCCUGAGAGGGAGAUCCCCCACACUGGUACUGAGACACGGACCAGACUCCUACGGGAGGCAGCAGUGAGGAAUAUUGGACAAUGGGUGAAAGCCUGAUCCAGCCAUCCCGCGUGAAGGAUGACGGUCCUAUGGAUUGUAAACUUCUUUUGUAUAGGGAUAAACCUAGAUACGUGUAUCUAGCUGAAGGUACUAUACGAAUAAGCACCGGCUAACUCCGUGCCAGCAGCCGCGGUAAU